rnacentral:sRNA from 1 species
UAUCCUUGUCGGUGAAGUUGCACACAAA